UCCAUAUAUGGGCAAAGCAGGAGUGAUUCUGUGACGCAAAGCUAUAGGGCCUGGGUUUCAUUGAGGGUGAGAGCUUAAGAACCAGAGGCAGCCAGUUGCAAAG
rnacentral:ncRNA from 1 species